rnacentral:tRNA from 1 species
AGCUAUUAAGUUUUAAACAUAUGUUUUGAAAACAUAAAAAGGAGAAUCUCCAAUAGUUU